rnacentral:rRNA from 1 species
CCUACGGGUGGCAGCAGUGAGGAAUAUUGGUCAAUGGGCGCGAGCCUGAACCAGCCAAGUCGCGUGAGGGAUGAAGGUUCUAUGGAUCGUAAACCUCUUUUUUAAGGGAAUAAAGUGUGGGACGUGUCCUAUUUUGUAUGUACCUUCUGAAUAAGGAUCGGGUAACUCCGUACAAGCAGCCGCGAUAAUACGGAGGAUCAGAGCGUUAUCCGGAUUUAUUGGGUUUAAAGGGUGCGUAGGCGGCCUUUUAAGUCAGGGGUGAAAGUCUGUGGCUCAACCAUAGAAUUGCCGUUGAAACUGGGGGGCUUGAGUGUGUUUGAGGUAGGCGGAAUGCGUGGUGUAGCGGUGAAAUGCUUAGAUAUCACGCAGAACCCCGAUUGCGAAGGCAGCCUGCCAAGCCAUGACUGACGCUGAUGCACGAAAGCGUGGGGAUCAAACAGGAUUAGAUACCCUGGUAGUC